GACGAACGCUGGCGGCGUGCUUAACACAUGCAAGUCGAACGGUAAGGCCCUUCGGGGUACACGAGUGGCGAACGGGUGAGUAACACGUGGGUGAUCUGCCUGCACUUUGGGAUAAGCCUGGGAAACUGGGUCUAAUACCGAAUAGGACCAUGGACUUCACGGUUUGUGGUGGAAAGCUUUUGCGGUGUGGGAUGGGCCCGCGGCCUAUCAGCUUGUUGGUGGGGUAAUGGCCUACCAAGGCGACGACGGGUAGCCGGCCUGAGAGGGUGACCGGCCACACUGGGACUGAGAUACGGCCCAGACUCCUACGGGAGCAGCAGUGGGAAUAUUGCACAAUGGGCGCAAGCCUGAUGCAGCGACGCCGCGUGAGGGAUGACGG
rnacentral:rRNA from 1 species